rnacentral:rRNA from 1 species
UACCGCGGUUAUACGAGAGACCCAAGUUGACAAGCUCCGGCGUAAAGCGUGGUUAAGGAGUAACAAACACUAAAGCCAAAUACUUGCCAAGCUGUUAUACGUUCCCGAAAGUAAGAAGCACAUUCACGAAAGUAGCUUUAUCUUGCCUGAACCCACGAAAGCCAAGGCA